AGUGGUCUCAAACUCCCGGCCCGCGGGCCAUUUGCGGCCCGCCCUCCCCCUCUCUGCGGCCCGCGUCACCUUUCAACAAUAUAACGUAAUCUGGCCCGCAGAAAGAUUUUUAUUUAAAUUUGUUUUUUUUUAUUUAAACGUUUAAGGGUUCGGUCACAUGUCGCGUCUAACAACGCAAGUUAAAACGAGUCGAGGCGUUUCUUAAAGUAUGUUUACUUUUCAAAGUGCUUGCUUGGGAGCGGAGGUUGCGCAGCGUGGGGUCGCGUCACCCGUUGCUACGCAGCCACGAGCGCGCGCUCCGUGAUGAUGGCGAGGGUAACGGAAUGCGUGAUCGGAUUUUAAUUCCUCUCGCGUCAAUCAUAUCAUUGUCACAAUGCGAUCAGUUCAUCUGAUCGCGACUUUGUAGUGUUUGUCCAGAGAAGAUUUGUUACUUCCGGGUGGAUACUCUGUUACUCAGAGAAGAGCUGCUGUGGGGUUAUUACCGUAGUUCACCUCAAGUCACAGCUUCUAAUGGAGACACCGCAGUGGGAGAUGUAGUGCAACAGUUUAAUAUUAAACUACGGAUGAGAAAAUGACCCAUCAAAGUGCCCAGGUUAGGAAAAGAGGAAAGAUGAGGAGAAAUUACAGAGGAUACAAAUGAACUCAGUUUUUUAUACCUGUGAUCAGAUAUUCAUUUUCACCACUGCUCUCAAGAUUUACCCCACACAAAGAUGAGGAGGAACCUGUGAGGAUGGUAUCCACUUCCCUAUCGGGACCUUUAAACAUCUAUGAAGAGAGAUAUAAGACCCUUUAGAGACGGAUAAAAGAUGGAUAAUCUUGUCCUGGAGAAGCUAAAACAAUGGAACUUGGAGGUUCUGAUACCAGCUUUUACCAAGUUCUUUUCAGAUUUCACAAAACUUCCCAAUGUUAUUCCCUGACCAUGCAGAAAAGCUAUUUGAAACUUGGACAUUGCAUUUUACAGACAGAAUCCUGCAACUCCCCAGCCAGGAACAUCAACAAAUCACCUGCAGAACCCCAUGAUGAUAUUCCAACUCCUGUCUACAAAAGUGGAAAGAAAAAUCUUAAGUCUACAUAUUCUGAUUGGCCAGUCGUGACAUUCUACUACUGCUCAAAACUAAAAACUCUGAUGCUGCAAAUUAUUUUGACAGGUACAAUUUAAUAUUACACAAAAAUUAAAUGUCAAUGUCUAUUAAUAACAUAUCUAACAUUAAAUUUACAAAUGAUUAAA